CGGGCGAGGAAGUUGGGCGGUGGCGGUCGCCUUGGGGCGACCGGGUCCCUGCUCUGCCCGGCACGGCCGGGAGGCCCGACGGUGGCAGCUGCCGCGGGUCCCACAAGUUGUUUUCCUCGUGGCGACCAUUCAGCAAAACGCAGGAUCCUUUCUCAAAGAUUUAAAUUUCGCGGAUGAAUUACCAUACACCGGUUGCUUAGCAACUAAAUUCAAGCAGGGCUAAGAAUAUGCAAGCUUUUUGUAUUCUCAUUAAUAAAAAUGCCACUCUGACACAGCAACCCGACUUUGGAUCACUGCAACUUCUGUAAAAGCCGUAGGAGAAUACAAACCGAUCCUGCCAUUUAAUUACAGAUCAAAAUGGCUUGAAACGCGAUGUUUUGUUCAUCUAUCUUCCUAAAAGCGAUGUAAAAAAUAACGGCUUUCAAGAGCAGUAGUAAAUUUUCUUCUUCUUUUUUUAAUGGAGUUGUCUAUCGGGAUUACUGAUAAUUGUCAACUGAAACCUUUUUGAAGCACAGGUUGAAAUAUCCCUUUUCAUCAACAUUUCUGUUCUUUCCCCCAAAACCCCCUCACCCUCUGAUCCUGUUCUUCUUCUUCACCCAAUAACUGUUGUGGUGGUGGUGGUGGUGGUGGUGGUGGUGGAAAUGUCAAGGCCUUGGGAGCCCUAGGGUCUAAAAAGCAGUUAGGAGAGUAAUGGACAAGCCCAGUGGCUGGAGAAAUAGCAAAGGAAACUUCAGAAAGUUUCCUUGGAAGUUUGGGGCAGUUGCUGAAGGCCGAAGUGGCUUAAGUUCCAAGGAUUUGGCCAGAACUUUUGGGGAGGCUUGUGGGGAGUAAGGUAAGAAAACCCUGUGGCCCUCCGCUCCAUAUCUGCAGAUUUUCCGUUCUGGAGUGGUGUCGCUUCUCUGCGGAAAAUAGUUGCGGCCUCCGGCUCUGCCGACUGUGGAGUUCAGAGGGGCUGUGUUCACAGGGCCGGGCUGACCCUGCCUGUCUGAGAAAUCUUUUUUUUUGGUUGCUCUGGAGCCCUCGAACUGUGGACAAAGUAAAGAUCGAGCUCAACUCAUGACCCUUUGGGUCUUCAAAGAGUGGCCCAGCCCAGAGACCAGAGCCUGAGAUUUAUUUAUGUGAGGGACUGACUUUGCGCCUCUUGUCCAAGGAUGCCGCGUGUGCAAGGUGAUGCGCUGACUCAGAAAAAGGUUCCAAUCUGCACGCCUUUGCUCCAGUCCGAGUUGGGGUGGGGGUGGGGGUGCCGAAGGGGUCAAAACAGAAUGGCCUCUUGUGCAGAAAGGUCGCAUUGUGUGAGAGUGUACCGCAGUCUAAGCAGCUGGGACGGCAGCGCAGGGAUAAGACAGGAGGCAUCUGAAGGCUUUUGUGGAAGCUAAGGGCUGCCAGGCCCUGCGCUGCCCUCGGCCAUGGAAUUCAAGGAAUAGCCCUGGGCUCUUGGUUCAGGCUCAGCUUCCCGCCGGUGGUAAACUCGGUGCCACACCAAGGUAGGCUGCUUGUUCUCUGAUCAGGGCUUGGACACUCCCCAUGCCCCCCUUCCCUGCCCGGGGACUGUGGGCCCCAGACCUGCAGGGUGAUACUGAGAUGCCAUGUGCGGGCUCCGGUGGCAAGGUCAGGCAGAGAUGCCAAUCCGCUGGUCUGUGCCCAAUGCACUGGUCUGUGCCCAAUGCACGGGCCAAUGAGAUUGCUGGCCGGUUUCGCUUCUAAAGCUGUAAAAACAGGCCGUAGUUAGCUUUAGAAAGAUCCAGGGGCAAAAGUGAAACCCUACAUUGAUUCUGCUAACAUUCCCAGAGAGCCAACCCCCAGUGCAACAACCUUUGUUAAAAGGGGAACUUUAGAAAUGACAUGUCUCUGGGUCAUCCUGGACACUUAGGAAUAGGAAACCUCACAACUGACUCAGUUGACUCCGGCUUCUUUCUAUUGAGUACAAAAAUAAUAACAAUGGAACUGAAACAAGUCUUAAGUUGAAGUAUUUGUUGUAUUAGGCUGUGCUCCUAGUUCCUUUGCCAGUAAAACAUACACAGUACACAGGAAACCAUUUAUUUACAAAUACAAUUGCCCUAGACAAGCCACAUUCCAUGUAUGUAAUUCAUUAAUAGAACUUUUCCUUUCUUCCUUCCCUUUGGAAAGCUCCAAAAUAGCUGGAGCUUGGGGGAAAGGAAGGAGAGUGGUUAUCCUACCUGUUUCUUGAAAAUGAAGCUAAACUACCUGGCCAGUUCCUGUCCAUGAUGUUCCACACUGUAAGCUAAUCAAAAUACAUGCUGAUAGUUUUGUUUUCUUUUUGACUCUUCAGAAAAGAAGUUUGUUGCUUGUGGUUGCUGUCAUCAGAGUUGCCCAGUAGAAAGGAGCUGGUAAUGUGGCCCUAGUUGGUAUGUGUGUGAUUUACAUGUGAACAAAACUAAAAUUUAGACAGCUGGAGCUGGCUGAGAAUCUAUGAAAAUUGUUAUCUGUAAAACCUACUCUGUGGUUAUAGUUUUUAAAAUGUCUGUGGACAAUGCCCGUUGGACUACUUCCUUUCUGAGAAAAGUUAUGCCCAGGGACCAUGCUAGAGAGGGCUUCCUGGUCACCAGGAGAGCUAGGAGCCUUUAUUUAUAGCACCUGAGUCUGCUGUUUGAAUUCAGGAAGUUUUCUCUAAGUGAGUCUUCACCUCCUGUAAGUUGAGAGAGGAGUUUUGUUUGGGGAAGAGCUGGCCAAAGGAAGCCAUAACCAAGUGUGAAUUUUCUGGGUGCCCCAGUGAGUUUUAUUUAAACAUGAAAAGUAUGAAACACACCUGAAUUUUGUCUGGAACUUUGUAAGUUCCCACUACUAGACAUGGUUACAAAAGGACAAAAAGAAUGAUCACUGAUGCUCAUGUUUCAUAUUGUAGCUACCAAAUAAUGGGACAAACACUGAAAGAGAGGCACAAACUUUUUAAAAUAAAUUUUAUUUUUUAAAAAAGGACAAGAGAUAUUUUGAUGAAGAGCUUCCUGAGAGAUCACACUGUAGUUCUGCCCCCAGGACUGCCUCUCAGCAGAAGGCCUUGAACUGGGGCUUCAAGGAGGGGAAUAAAAGCCCCCCAGGGAAUGAAGCCUCCACUUCCACUUGCAUCACCCUGACACCCCCUGCUAGAAAACCCAAGUGCUAGAAGAUUUGGGGCAAAAUGGUAACUUGAGGCAUCCCCAUGUGAGUGUGUUACAUAACACACAGAACCCUCUGCUGGGAGAGAUGCACACACUUGAUUGUCUCCAAAUGACUAUGUGCAGGCGUAGAGGUCUGGAAGGGAGACAUGAAGACAAAUCAAAGAAGAAGAUUGUGAGGCCAUAUAUGAUACGCACAUGUGAGUUGGUGUGCAUAGGAACGGUUAUAUUUCCACUUUCUGGUGGGUCAGAGCAUCCUCCAGAGAGCCUGCCUGCCUGGAGUUCACCUUGGGUAAGAAAGAGACACACUGAAUAUGGGGACUGGGUGGAAGCAACUGUACUCAAGAGCACUGGGACCUGGUGCCCUGUGGCCAGUACAAGCCAGGUUAGUAUAAAGCUGUGUCAUCCUCAA